AAAGCGUGCGCAGGCGGUUAUGCAAGACAGAUGUGAAAUCCCCGGGCUCAACCUGGGAACUGCAUUUGUGACUGCAUAGCUAGAGUACGGUAGAGGGGGAUGGAAUUCCGCGUGUAGCAGUGAAAUGCGUAGAUAUGCGGAGGAACACCGAUGGCGAAGGCAAUCCCCUGGACCUGUACUGACGCUCAUGCACGAAAGCGUGGGGAGCAAACAGGAUUAGAUACCCUGGU
rnacentral:rRNA from 1 species